AUACGUAGGGUGCAAGCGUUAAUCGGAAUUACUGGGCGUAAAGCGUGCGCAGGCGGUUUGGCAAGAAGGAUGUGAAAUCCCAGGGCUUAACCUUGGAACUGCAUUCUUAACUGCCAGGCUAGAGUAUGUCAGAGGGGGGUAGAAUUCCGCGUGUAGCAGUGAAAUGCGUAGAGAUGCGGAGGAAUACCGAUGGCGAAGGCAGCCCCCUGGGAUAAUACUGACGCUCAUGCACGAAAGCGUGGGGAGCAAACAGGAUUAGAUACCCUGGUAGUCCACGCCCUAAACGAUGUCAACUAGCUGUUGGGGCCUUCGGGCCUUAGUAGCGCAGCUAACGCGUGAAGUUGACCGCCUGGGGAGUACGGUCGCAAGAUUAAA
rnacentral:rRNA from 1 species